GACAGAGGCCUCAAGCGUUUAGGCGGAAUCACUGGGCUUAAAGCGUGUGUAGGCGGACUUCUAAGUGCCUUGUGAAAUCCCACGGCUCAACCGUGGAACUGCUGGGCAUACUGGGAGUCUUGGGCCAUUCAGGGGGCAACUGGAACAAGCGGUGGAGCGGUGAAAUGCGUAGAUAUCUGGAGGAAUACCGGUGGCGAAGGCGGCAUCCUGGACCGAGAUUGACGCUGAACGGCGAAAGCUAGGGGAGCAAACGGGG
rnacentral:rRNA from 1 species